UUACAGCCAUAUCACGUUGAAACACUGGUUCUAAUAUGAUCACCAAAGUUAAGCAAUAUCAAGUCUAGUCAGUACCUAGAUGGGUGACCACUUGGGAAUAUUAGGUACUGUAAG